rnacentral:rRNA from 1 species
GGAUGCGAUCAUACCAGCACUAAAUGACCGGAUCCCAUCAGAACUCCGAAGUUUUAAGCGUGCUUGGGCGAGAGUAGUACUAGGAUGGGUGACCUCCUGGAAAAUCCUCGUGUUGCAUUCC